rnacentral:rRNA from 1 species
CUACGGGUCGCUGCAGUAAGGAAUAUUGCGCAAUGGAGGCAACUCUGACGCAGCCAUGCCGCGUGCAGGACUGAAGGCCUUAUGGGUCGUAAACUGCUUUUAUUUAGGAAUAAACUUUCGUACGUGUACGAGACUGAAGGUACUAAAUGAAUAAGCACCGGCUAACUCCGUGCCAGCAGCCGCGGUAAUACGGAGGGUGCAAGCGUAAUCCGGAUUUAUUGGGUUUAAAGGGUGCGCAGGCGGACUAUUAAGUCAGAGGUGAAAUCCCGGAGCUCAACUUCGGAACUGCCUUUGAUACUGGUAGUCUUGAAUACGGUUGAAGUAGGCGGAAUGUAGCAUGUAGCGGUGAAAUGCAUAGAGAUGCUACAGAACACCGAUCGCGAAGGCAGCUUACUAAGCCGAUAUUGACGCUCAGGCACGAAAGCGUGGGGAGCGAACGGGAUUAGAUACCCGCGUAGUC